CGAACGCUGGCGGCACGCCUAACACAUGCAAGUCGAGCGCUACCUUCGGGUGGAGCGGCGGACGGGUUAGUAACGCGUGGGUAACCUGCCCCAUACAAAGGGAUAGCCACUGGAAACGGUGAUUAAUACCAUAUAAUAUCAAGCGAUCGCAUGAUUGCUUGGUCAAAGAUUUAUCGGUAUGGGAUGGACCCGCGUCUGAUUAGCUAGUUGGUAAGGUAAUGGCUUACCAAGGCGACGAUCAGUAGCCGACCUGAGAGGGUGAUC
rnacentral:rRNA from 1 species